rnacentral:rRNA from 1 species
UACGAAGGGGGCUAGCGUUGUUCGGAAUUACUGGGCGUAAAGCGCACGUAGGCGGACAUUUAAGUCAGGGGUGAAAUCCCAGGGCUCAACCCUGGAACUGCCUUUGAUACUGGGUGUCUUGAGUACGAGAGAGGUGAGUGGAAUUCCGAGUGUAGAGGUGAAAUUCGUAGAUAUUCGGAAGAACACCAGUGGCGAAGGCGGCUCACUGGCUCGUAACUGACGCUGAGGUGCGAAAGCGUGGGGAG